UACGGGGGGGGCAAGCGUUGUUCGGAAUUACUGGGCGUAAAGGGCUCGUAGGCGGCCAACUAAGUCAGACGUGAAAUCCCUCGGCUUAACCGGGGAGCUGCGUCUGAUACUGGUUGGCUUGAAUCCGGGAGAGGGAUGUGGAAUUCCAGGUGUAGCGGUGAAAUGCGUAGAUAUCUGGAGGAACACCGGUGGCGAAGGCGGCAUCCUGGACCGGUAUUGACGCUGAGGAGCGAAAGCCAGGGGAGCAAACAGG
rnacentral:rRNA from 1 species